GACGAACGCUGGCGGCGUGCUUAACACAUGCAAGUCGAACGGAAAGGCCCUGCUUUUGGGGGGUGCCCGAGGGGCGAACGGGUGAGUAACACGUGAGUAACCUGCCCUGGACUUGGGGAUAACUUCAGGAAACUGGGGCUAAUACCGGAUAGGAGCUCCUGCGGCAGGGUGGGGGUUGGAAAGUUUCGGCGGUUGGGGAUGGACUCGCGGCUUAUCAGCUUGUUGGUGGGGUAGUGGCUUACCAAGGCUUUGACGGGUAGCCGGCCUGAGAGGGUGACCGGCCACAUUGGGACUGAGAUACGGCCCAGACUCCUACGGGAGGCAGCAGUGGGGAAUAUUGCACAAUGGGCGGAAGCCUGAUGCAGCAACGCCGCGUGCGGGAUGACGGCCUUCGGGUUGUAAACCGCUUUCGCCUGUGACGAAGCGUGAGUGACGGUAAUGGGUAAAGAAGCACCGGCUAACUACGUG
rnacentral:rRNA from 1 species